ensembl:misc_RNA 7SK 7SK RNA
GGAUGUGAGGGCGAUCUGGCUGCGACAUCUGUCACCCCAUUGAUCGCCAGGGUUGAUUCGGCUGAUCUGGCUGGCUAGGCGGGUGUCCCCUUCCUCCCUCACCGCUCCAUGUGCGUCCCUCCCAAAGCUGCGCGCUCGGUUGAAGAGGACGGCCUUCCCCCGAAUAGAGACGGACCGGUCUUCGGUCCAGGGUAUAUGAGUAGCUGCGCUCCCCUGCUAGAACCUCCAAACAAGCUCAAGAAUACACUGUUUGACCUACUCAAUGUAUCAAAUCUCUAGGAAUGCCCAGAAUUACUUUAAUAAAAAUGAAUGAACUCAGUUAUAUACUUA